GAGAAGCGCAGACUUUAAGUGGGAUAGACACCUUUGUAACAUCCGGGGAAGAAGGCGCCUAACUUGAGCUACCCUUAUGGCGGCGUCAGGUAGUGCUUCUUCUUCGUCGAUGUCUUCGCUAGCUGUUACCUUUGAAAGGUAAAAACUAUUUCGUAUAGAUUUGAGCCUCGCUUUUUAAUUUAGUUUUGUCGUGAACUCCAAUAAAUAAGCAAAAUUGUA